UGCAGCCCCACCACAGUAAGUCUUGCAGUCAUUUUUGUACAUUGAAUAAAAUAUUGGCCUUUUAUUAAGUCUAUUACAUUUCUUAAUUUGUUUUAGACUGCAUUCACUUCCUUGUUAUUGUUUUAAAUUCACAAGGGAUAAUUUUAAACUAAUCUUCUCAUCUUUUGCAAAAAACCCUCAUCAAUAAGCACUGAAAGGAUGAUUAAAAUAUCGCUCCGUGUAGAACAAACUAAGUCAAAAUUACUGUGGGGAGUAAAUUACCCUAACAGAGAUGUAAUGUCAAUGCCUUAAUAUUAUGAAAGAUUUAUUAUUCGAAAGGAAAAAGAAAAUGUACCCUUAGUGCUGUAAGCAGGUCUUUGUCAAAACAGCUUUUUUAAACAUAUAAAUAGCAUGGUUUGGUUAAAUGUUUCUUCAUCCACAGUGAAAGAAAAACUCAGUGGAGAAAAACAAUAACAGCCUUGUUGUCCCACGGGUGUAAUGUCCAAGAGUCCAUAGCACCUGAAUUUGUCUCUCCAGGCUACAGAGAUGUGGUUGUACCAGCUCACUUCAUACUUUUACCUCACACCGAGCUCUUUGCCACCCCUGGAGCUGAUGUCUCUAUCCAGGAGUGUCCCCAUCCCUGCAAUCAGCCCAGCUUCUCCCAGGGACCCCAUCCCACCUUGUUCAGCAGGAGUUGCAGCAUCCCGGGCUUGUUACACUCACCCCAUGUUCCUUCUCUGGCAUGAGCCAGAACUGCCCUUGUUCAGCCAGAUGGGCCUGCCUGGUACAGCAAGCUUCUCACAUUAUUUUAACACUGGUUAAAAAGAAAGGGUAAUGUGGUCCUAAAAUAUUCUAGUAACAAGGCUCCAAAGCUGAACAGUUCCUGGGCUCGUCUUCCAUUAUCUCCCUUGCACUGUGUUUUUGCUCCAGCUACAAGCAAAAGCCUGUAAAGCUUGGAUCUUUCCCUUUUUUUUAUUUCUUUUUUGUUGUUGUUGCUUAUCUUUUUAUGUACCUUUUCAUUCCCUCCCAACAAAUGUUCAUUUAUUCUCUUGAAACCUUUCCAGGAUUGUCUGCCUAGUUAUUUACCUUUGAUCUAUAUGGAAUCAGAGACACUCAGCUAGUAUGCUUGUCAAACUGAUUUUUGGAACUUGCUAUAUUAACCUGCAAUCCUUAAGGAUAUUUGUAUUUCUUUAAUCUAGAUAUGAAUAUUUGAAUUCUGCAGCUAUGACAUCAUUUUGUUCUCAGUUGAACAGAUUUCUCCGAGGGACAGCUGAUAAACAUCUUCGCCUGGACUGACUCAAAUGCUGUCAAAUAUCUGUCAUGGCAAAUCUUUCUAUAAGACAAAAGCAAAAGGUACAUCUUGGCCUGAUACCAAGUGCUUUUGACUUCAGUGACAAGGAGCUGUGCCUCUCAAUGCCCAUCACUCAGUCAGACCAUGACUGGAUGCACGAGGAGCUCCACACUCCAGUUGUCCCACAGAUCUGGCCAUACUGCCCUCUGCAAUGACCUCUCAUCCACACUAACAGUGCUCUUCCAUGAAAGGGUCCUUAGGGAAAUGGAUCACGUUGGUUCAGCCUAAUUUGAGAGGCGACAGAAGGAUGUUCCCUUUGCACUUCUCGUAUGUGGAACAGGUGAAAUAAUGCCACAUUUGAAUGCCCUGUGCUGAGGUACAGCUCUCCCAUGACAUCCCAAGCCAGGGGCAGAGGGGACAGGAGAGCCUCAGACCUAUCUUCAUCUCUCAGCCAGCUUGUGCUUUUCUCUGGAACACAAUUUCUGAAUCAAGACCGGGUUUUUCCAAACCAGUGAAAACUUCCUGCUGUUCUUUUCCAUUCUGCAAGCCAUUUCUCACAAGCCAUCUGCCUCAGCUUUGGCAUGAGGACAAUCUGGUUAGAUCUGGGUUGGCACCAAGCCGGUUCAUUAAACAAGUGCUCACUCAAAAAUGUGUCUGCCCAAAAGGCAUUUUCCUGGACCAUCCAUAAUUCAGAUUUCUUUUGCACACCUAAAUUGCAUCAGUUACUAUACAGAAGUAAAGUCACAUCUAAAGACUGACAUACAACUACACCCUGGAACAAAUUCCACCCUGUUACAACUCCGUGAACUUGGAGUAACUGAAUGUAGACAGACUGGAUUAUAAAAGUUGGGGUUCCCUGCUUCAUCUGGGGAGAUGGAGGAUUGGAUAUACACCUGCCUCCCAUGGCAGCUUCAGCAAAUAUUUACCUCUUUAGCAGACCUUUUCAGGAUAAGAGGAUCCACAGGUAGCUGUACCUUCACCAUUCAUCCCCUUAAACUCAGUAGGAUUAAUGCAUACAACUACCUUCAGUCCUAUCAAUGUGCUCAACUUGCUUCUCAUGAGAUUGCUCACAUCAGUGCAAUUUCAAUAACUGAAAGCCACCCCAGACAUCAGAGACAAAUAUUAAAAAAGCAAAUAACUUCUUGUUGUUACAAGUACUUCACUCUUCACACAUGCUCACAAAUUUAAAAACUAUCGAAUUAAAAAUCACUCAUCUCCUUUAGUUUUUAUUUAUCACAAAUUAAAACGUUUGCUUUUAUUUUCAUUCUGAGCCCCUUACUCCCCUUGGCAAAAUACAAAUCCGUACAAAGUUUUCAUGGAUCUAUAAUGAGAGUUGAAACUCCAUCCAUCUUUUGGGAUUUGGUAAUCAAUUAAAUAUUUAUUUAAUAAAGAUCAAAGCAACUAAACUUCUUUUUUUUUAAAGAGAAUAUUUGCUUAUCUUUUUUAAGUUUCUCAGUUGCUCAUCUAAAUGAGUACAUCUACACGUCAAAAAGUAAUGAGGAAAGGUGUGAAAAGGGAUUAUCUUGACCUCUACAUUUUUCACAACCAAGAGAUGUGCUGAGCAAAUUUCAUCUGUGGAGCUGCAGCAAUUACAUAUGAACUCACAAGAAGUGCACCCUGUUCCCAUUUAUUUGACCCCAAAGCAGCUGAAGUGGAGGCUUAAAGCAACUGACACAACCUGACCCUAUUCUCAGCAGCUACACCAAGGAGUGCCCUCAUUGCAGCAAAGAAAGAUUAGGAUCCUGUGGCCAGCCUGCCCUUGGGAAAAGCACAUAGCACACUUAGAAAGAAGAGAAAAAGGAAAGUAGGGGCAGAUCUAUGAAACAUCUUUUUGAUACUUAUCCCACCCAUAUUAUUCUGCUUCAUUUUAUCUGGAAAACACUCUCCUCUGGCAGCCAUGCACACAAUCCCACACCUACUCUGAGCCAAAAGGAACGAGCUGGAGACAGGAGAGUUGAGCCAAAGGGUGCUUGCUGUGUGAUCUGGGCAUGCAGCAACUGCUGGCUGCCUACGGCAGAUCACUUUCCAGCUCCCCUCCACACACAGACUUCAUCUGUGCUCAGGGGAGCCAGCGAGAGGCAGGGCAGGGCAGCACCAAACCUAGAGCUGCUGUUGGUGUGGGGAGGUAGGAGAGUGUGAUCAGAGCAAACUAGCACUGAAAGGAGUAGGAAAGGAUGCUGUGGGGGACCUGGAAAUAGGGAGGAAAAAUCAAGUCCCCUACAUGUCUCAGGGUAGCAGUGCCUGCUAGCCAGGCAGUGAACAUACAGGGAGAGCUCCAUGGGCCUCAAGGACUUGCUCCUCUGGGCACCUUGGGCUGGCAGGGCCAGGGCAGUAGAAGGGGGUCUGGAGGGAGCUGAAGUGUUCCAAGGCUUGCUUUGCUGGCACAAAUGCCUUUAGGGGGAACAGGAAGCUCUUACAACCCAGAGGAGGCCAAGGGACAGGAUCUGAAGCACAUCAGGGAAUGCACCACUGAGAAGCUGAAUGUGGGAGAACAUAGCUCAAGAGGGACAGUGGGACAUCCCAAAUUAACAUUUGAAAGUAGAUAAUUACUCCAAAUCCAAACAAAGAAAUAAUCAGAAUCACUGCACUAAGAUGUCAUCUGUGGCCCUUCCCCACUUCACUGGGCUUUGGUGAUGUGAGCCACCAUCUGAGGACUCGACUUUAGUCUCCUUUGGCUGGUAUCCAGGACUGGCCCUGGUAGGCCUGACAAAACAUUUCCGUUCAUCCACAGUAGGCUGAGCUCAGUGGGGGAACAAAAGUGUGUCCUGAUGAGAAAACAAGUCAAGAAGUGUUCCAGAGAUAGCUGGUAGAGCACACAUCUCAGAAGGAUGUUAGCAAUAACAGCAUAUAACAGAGAAACACAAUAAAGCCACAGCAGCAAAGCUCUCUCAGCUAAUCUGAUUCAGAAAUUAGACAAAAAAAAAAAAAAGAAAACCAAGUAAAAUUAUAGCAAACUAUAAAAACAUAAGAAUAACUAUCUCUUACCUUCCUUUACUCCAGGCAGCAGCUUACAGGUGCUCAAGCCCCAGCCCCAGCUGCACCACUCAUCUGGAAGGUGGGAGGCACAAAUCUAAGUUGCCUUCAAGCCAGAAAGGCACCAAACCAAGGCUCCCUUCCCCUUACAGGCAGCAGCAUUUCUGCCCUUUGUGGAAGCUCUUUAAAAGACAAGGAUGAGUUGGUAAGGAUUUCCUCCUCCCAAAUGAUAGGUGUGGUGCUUUGCAGCUCUGAAUGGAUGCUGCUGCUUGUCCCCAGGAUCCCAGCUCCAGGGUGAGCUGGGCUUCAUAGUCAUGCCUCUGCCCAGAGCUCUCUGGCUUACCCUGGGGUAGCUCUUUGUACAAUUUGCAUGGCUUGGGAUCAGUUUUUUUGGAGGGGCUCAUUCCUUCCAUGAGCUUUACAAGAACCUUACAGACCAAACCUUGGAGAUGGGUGCUGCUGCUGCAGGGGUUGGAUAGGUAAUAGGUAGGCAGAGAAUUUUGAUAUCAGCCCCAGCUCUUCAACCUCAGGUGAUACCAUUGACUUCUGCAAAAACACAUCACAGCUAAGCCCCAGUGUGAAAUUAAAGGAUUGGGGUCAGUCAUCUCCUGGGGCCGUUACCAAGCAUUACACUAACUCCUUAUCCACACCAGUGAAACAUUUCUCAAAAGAAAAAAAAAAUAUGAGGAGAAAAAAGAAGCAUAUGAGGCUAAUCACAAGUAAACCAAAAGUGCCUGUCACCUAGAUCUUAAUUCCAAUCUCACUUCAUAUUGGUGUAAAUCAAAAUGUCCUUCAUUUUUCUUGUAUUUCUGCCAGUAAUCAUUAAAAGAUUUUACAAAAUAGUCUUUCUUUAGGGCUACUGGGCACUGUAUAUUCAGGGAGAUAAUCUGGUUGUCAAGAUGGUUGAAAGCAUUCAUCUUGCUGGAUUCUGUCCUGACAAUGCAACACACACACAUCUCCUCCAAAAACAUAUCUGCUCUAGCUCAUUACCUAAACAGCUGACAGACUUCAUUAAUUUGACAUUGAGUUGGGCAAAAAAGAGCUUUAUGCUUUGUAAUUUAUAUAAGGGCAAGCAGAAAUCAUUCCUACAUGCUUUAUCAUUAUUAAUGCAAAUUCUGACUGAUGGCAAAUUACACAGUCCUGCACCCUUGGAGAGGAUCACCCUUGGAAAUAUUGACCUUGAAAUAAUGUAACCCUCUUGGAUGUCAGUAGAAGAGGUAAGAAAGUGAACAAGCUGAAGAUGGACAACACAACUACUUUUUGAAAUGAACACCAAGACUUGGAAUUAUUUUCGCUUCUAAGUAUACAUAUCUUUGUCUAACUCUAGAACUUCUACUUUAAUGAACUCCCAGGAAAAACAGGAGUAUUAAUUGCUUUCCUAACCAUUUCAUAAUAUUACAAAAAGAAAAAUUGUAAUCAAUAUUAUAGGAGCAUUUCUGAUUUUUUAAAUCAACAGUUUGUGAGCUAUUAUUUUUAUCUAAUGAAUUUUUAUUGAUUAUUAAACCAAUGUUUAAUUGUUGAAAUCACUGCAGUCUUUUUAGACUGUCCC